CCUACGGGUGGCAGCAGUGGGGAAUAUUGCACAAUGGGGGAAACCCUGAUGCAGCGACGCCGCGUGAGCGAUGAAGUAUUUCGGUAUGUAAAGCUCUAUCAGCAGGGAAGAAAAUGACGGUACCUGACUAAGAAGCCCCGGCUAACUACGUGCCAGCAGCCGCGGUAAUACGUAGGGGGCAAGCGUUAUCCGGAUUUACUGGGUGUAAAGGGAGCGUAGACGGCUUGGCAAGCCAGAUGUGAAAGGCUGGGGCUCAACCUCAGGACUGCAUUUGGAACUGUCAUGCUAGAGUGUCGGAGAGGCAGGUGGAAUUCCUAGUGUAGCGGUGAAAUGCGUAGAUAUUAGGAGGAACACCAGUGGCGAAGGCGGCCUGCUGGACGAUGACUGACGUUGAGGCUCGAAAGCGUGGGGAGCAAACAGGAUUAGAUACCCGGGUAGUC
rnacentral:rRNA from 1 species